AAGUAUCAAAUGGUUAAAUCAGUGCUAAAGUUCCUUAUAAUUAGUACAGAUAUAACGCAACCCAAGUUAGUUAAAGUUAGUUUGCUUCAAGGCAACCUUAGAAUGCAGUUUUACAGACAACUUUGUGAUUGACGGUGGGGUCAAGCAUCAAACAAAUAGACAAACAUUCUGACAUAAGAGGAAAUUUGAUGCUCUGAUUGGCUAGCGGUAGCUAAUGAAAGCGUUCUAAAAAUAAAUAAUUCUGAGAAAACAAGACCCUGUAGUGGAGCAGGGUAGACUGUGAUACCUGUGUGAGACAGUUUACGGCUUAGUCUCAUCAUUUUUCAAGAAUCUGAGUCAAAGAGGAGGUUGAACAGAACGCAUGUGCAUGUCAUGGAGAUGAUCGUCAAACAAGUCGUCGUUUGCUAAACGUUUUUGGGUCCAAGGAUAAUCAAGAAUUAGAUUAGAUCCUUCUUCGCCGGUUGGAAUUUACUUCUUUAAACCAUAAUUUCUUGUCAAGACUGCUCAGCUGACCGGCAAAAUUCCUUGGAAUGAUUGUUUGACAUAGAAUGACAUGAGAAAUGCAUGGACGUAAUCCAUAGCUUUAAUAAGAAUAUUAAAUACUCAACUGGAUACUAGUCAAGAGAUAAACUCUAAAGGGAAUGUAGAUGCCAGAGAUUUGUCCAAGUAAAGUAAGGCAUAUUCAA